rnacentral:rRNA from 1 species
UACGGAGGGGGCUAGCGUUGUUCGGAAUUACUGGGCGUAAAGCGCACGUAGGCGGCUUUGUAAGUUAGAGGUGAAAGCCCGGGGCUCAACUCCGGAAUUGCCUUUAACGGACUCGCAUCGCUAGAAUUGUGGAGAGGUGAGUGGAAUUCCGAGUGUAGAGGUGAAAGUUCGAUAGAUAUUCGGAAGAACACCAGUGGCGAAGGCGGCAUCCUGGACCAAUUCGUGACGCUGAGUGAGCGAAAGCCAGGGGAGCAAAGCGGGG